GGAAGUAAAAGUCGUAACAAGGUUUCCGUAGGUGAACCUGCGGAAGGAUCAUUACUGAUUUAGCGAACCAAGCAUUAGCGGGGUUUUGCGAUCAAUUUAUAUUUAAAACCCACUCUUUAAUGUAUAAAAUUUGUAUUAAUGAUAAAUUAAAAGAUCACUUUCAACAACGGAUCUCUUGGCUCUCGCAUCGAUGAAGAACGUAGCGAAGUGCGAUAAGUAAUGUGAAUUGCAGUAUUCCGUGAAUCAUCGAAUCUUUGAACGCAUAUUGCACUUUCUGGUAUUCCGGAAAGUAUGCCUGUUUGAGGGUCAGUUAAAUAAAAAUCGGUGUUGUUGCUGCCUUUCGUGGUGACGCGUCGGAAUUGAGUUGUCUUACCUUCGGUUAAGUGACUUAAAAUUUUGUAUGAUUUUUGAACGUAUUUAAAUUUUAUUUGUACGUUUGAGAUAUCGAAUGUUUAUUAGGUUCGGUCAUUCUAAUGACCCGCGCCUAUAGUUUUUCAUUAAAUGACCUCAAAUCAGGUAAGAAUACCCGCUGAACUUAAGCAUAUCAAUAAGCGGAGGA
rnacentral:rRNA from 1 species